GUUGAACGCUGGCGGCAGGCUUAACACAUGCAAGUCGAGCGGGGUGAUGGUGCUUGCACUAUCACUUAGCGGCGGACGGGUGAGUAAUGCUUAAGAAUCUGCCUAUUAGUGGGGGACAACAUCUCGAAAGGGAUGCUAAUACCGCAUACGUCAUACGGGAGAAAGCAGGGGAUCACUUGUGACCUUGCGCUAAUAGAUGAGCCUAAGUCGGAUUAGCUAGUUGGUGGGGUAAAGGCCUACCAAGGCGACGAUAUGUAGCGGGUCUGAGAGGAUGAUCCGCCACACUGGGACUGAGACACGGCCCAGACUCCUACGGGAGGCAGCAGUGGGGAAUAUUGGACAAUGGGGGGAACCCUGAUCCAGCCAUGCCGCGUGUGUGAAGAAGGCCUUAUGGUUGUAAAACACUUUAAGCGAGGAGGAGGCUGUUUUGGUUAAUCCCCACAAUGAGUGGACGUAACUCGCAGAAUAAGCACCGGCUAACUCUGUGCAAGCGGCCGCCGUAA
rnacentral:rRNA from 1 species